rnacentral:rRNA from 1 species
ACGAACGCUGGCGGCGUGCCUAAUACAUGCAAGUUGAGCGCUGAAGGUUGGUACUUGUACCAACUGGAUGAGCAGCGAACGGGUGAGUAACGCGUGGGGAAUCUGCCUUUGAGCGGGGGACAACAUUUGGAAACGAAUGCUAAUACCGCAUAAAAACUUUAAACACAAGUUUUAAGUUUGAAAGAUGCAAUUGCAUCACUCAAAGAUGAUCCCGCGUUGUAUUAGCUAGUUGGUGAGGUAAAGGCUCACCAAGGCGAUAAUACAUAGCCGACCUGAGAGGGUGAUCGGCCACAUUGGGACUGAGACACGGCCCAAACUCCUACGGGAGGCAGCAGUAGGGAAUCUUCGGCAAGAGACGAAAGUCUGACCGAGCAACGCCGCGUGAGUGAAGAAGGUUUUCGGAUCGUAAAACUCGGUUGGUAGAGAAGAACGUUGGUGAGAGUGGAAAGCUCAUCAAGUGACGGUAACUACCCAGAAAGGGACGGCUAACUACGUG